UUCAUAGUGAGAUGGGAUCUGAAGGAAACUGAAAGUAAAAUCUUGGUUUGAAGAAUACGAACUAUAUGUAAGGGUUACUAAGAUGGAAGUAUUUUAUAAAUAAAACAAAAAAUAUCACCUAAAUCUUUAUGAGUAAAUAUAGAGGAUAUAUAAGAAGAAGGUUAUUGUU
rfam:Clostridium sp. IEH 97212 scaffold_19, whole genome shotgun sequence.